rnacentral:rRNA from 1 species
CCUACGGGUGGCUGCAGUGAGGAAUAUUGGUCAAUGGCCGGAAGGCUGAACCAGCCAUGCCGCGUGAAUGUCAGUGCCCUAUGGGCGUUAAACUUCUUUUGGCCGGGAGCAAUAAUGGUCACGUGUGGCCAGACGAGAGUACCGUACGAAUAAGCAUCGGCUAACCUCGUGCCAGCAGCCGCGGUAAUACGGGGGAUGCAAGCGUUGUCCGGGUUUAUUGGGUGGAAAGGGUGCGUAGGCUGUGAGGUAAGUCAGCGGGGAAAUGCCCCGGCUCAAAGGGGUGAAGUGCCAUUGAAACUGCAUGGCUGGAGUGCGGAUGCGGCAGGAGGAAUGUGUGGUGUAGCGGUGAAAUGCAUAGAUAUCACACAGAACACCGAUUGCGAAGGCAUCUUGCGAAUCCGCGAUUGACGCUGAUGCACGAAAGCGUGGGUAUCAAACAGGAUUAGAUACCCUGGUAGUC